rnacentral:rRNA from 1 species
AUUGAACGCUGGCGGCAGGCCUAACACAUGCAAGUCGAACGAGCGGCGGACGGGUGAGUAAUGUCCGGGAAUCGCCUGAAGGAGGGGGAUAACUACUGGAAACCGUAGCCAAUACCCCAUUCCAUCGGAUUUGCCCCGAUGGGAUUUGCUAGUAGGUGGGGUAAAGGCCCCCCUAGGCGACGAUCCCUAGCUGGUCUGAGAGGAUGACCAGCCACACUGGGACUGAGACAAGGGCCAGACUCCUACGGGAGGCAGCAGUGGGGAAUAUUGCACAAUGGGCGCAAGCCUGAUGCAGCCAUGCCGCGUGUAUGAAGAAGGCCUUCGGGUUGUAAAGUACUUUCAGCGGGGAGGCGUUACCCGCAGAAGAAGCACCGGCUAACUCCGUGCCAGCAGCCGCGGUAAUAC